rnacentral:lncRNA from 1 species
UUUCCUCAGUUUUUUUCCAUUUGGGCUUCUUCUCAAAAGGUGAUAUUUUUCUAUUUGUUUAUACAUCUUCUGGGGUUCCUUUUUGUUGGGAUUUUGUGAUGGUGGGUUAGAGAAUUUUUGCUUUGUUUUGGAAUCCCAUCUCUGUUUUUGAGUUCUUGACUUAUUAUCAUCAUGAUGACUAUUGGAAAAUUUGAUUUGCUCUUCUGGGUUUCGUCCAUCUUCUGUUUGAUGUAUGUUUCAUUAGGAUUUGAUC